rnacentral:rRNA from 1 species
CCUACGGGUGGCUGCAGUGGGGAAUAUUGGACAAUGGGGGCAACCCUGAUCCAGCCAUGCCGCGUGUGUGAAGAAGGCCCUCGGGUUGUAAAGCACUUUCAGUGAGGAAGAACGCCUGGUGGUUAAUACCCAUCAGGAAAGACAUCACUCACAGAAGAAGCACCGGCUAACUCCGUGCCAGCAGCCGCGGUAAUACGGAGGGUGCGAGCGUUAAUCGGAAUUACUGGGCGUAAAGCGCGCGUAGGUGGCUUGAUAAGCCGGUUGUGAAAGCCCCGGGCUCAACCUGGGAACGGCAUCCGGAACUGUCAAGCUAGAGUGCAGGAGAGGAAGGUAGAAUUCCCGGUGUAGCGGUGAAAUGCGUAGAGAUCGGGAGGAAUACCAGUGGCGAAGGCGGCCUUCUGGACUGACACUGACACUGAGGUGCGAAAGCGUGGGUAGCAAACAGGAUUAGAUACGCCGGUAGUC